CUGCCCUGAAAAUGAAAAACAGACAGAUAUCACUGGCAGAAAACAGUGGACUUGCCACAGACUGAGAAUUGAGACGUUUAAGUAAUUUAGCAGACAGUAAAGGAGGUGUUUCUGUGUUCCCAGGGUCUUGUGUUCACCAGUUUAUUGUUCUGUUAACACAUUAUUCCUUGUCUAUAUUCGCUUCACAGUUGACCCGUAUCAAGCUAAAAAAAUUCAUAAAAUAUAAUGCUAACCACCGAGCCACUGUGCAGCCCUAACAUUAACCCUUUGAUGCGCAAUGUGGCUCAGGAGAUACCCAUUUUCCAUUGGAUUUGGGUCUCUUUUAACCCAUUUUGUGCAUCAAAGGGUUAGCCUGACUAGAAUAUUUAUCCCAAAUUAAAGUGGACUCUUUUAACUGUAUUUGAGACAUUGUCAAGAAAUGGACAUAGAUUUGUGCUGACGCCAGUCAAAUGAAAAUUUCUGUGGUUGGCCGCAGCAUCAGGCUUAGGACAGGUAAUGGGCAGGUGGACAGUACGGGUCAUAAACCACAAACUAAACGUCAAUAUCUGCGACAAGUCACACAUCUCUGACACAUAGAGUCCAAAGGGAGGUUGAUUCUGACUUGUGGAAUGCUGUCCCACAAGUCCCUUCACCAAGCAGUCUCAUCCUGGAUUGUUUGGUGAAGUUGACGGACAUUUUGGGGAACAUGAUCGUGUUGUUGGACACAUCCAUCCAGAGCGUCAUGUGGCAGAUCGUCUGUCAAACCACGCUGUCUGAACAAAGCUGCAUUUUAAGGUAGUCUUUUACAGUCACUGGUCAAAGGAGUGUGUGAGUGGUGAUCACACCGUCCGAUCAUUGUCCUCUAAAGCCACACCUGAACAAGAUAUGGAACUCAGUAGCUGAGAAUUUGUCACCACAUGAUCAGACUAAAUUUGACAUAACAAAUGAGAGAAGAAGACCGUUUGAAUGCUGCCUUUAUGUUUGUGUUCACGUCUGACAAAUACAGCACAUGAAACACAAUAGACAACAUUUUUGCGAACAUACAGCAUUUCUAAUUAAGAAACACAGUGAAAAAGGGACAAUCUAGUUUAAUGAGAUGAUUUUGAUUUAGAGUCCAUUUUUUCUCUUUUCUGCCUUGGCCUCUCCCAUUGGAAUGCAUCGGAGACAAGUCCCCAAAAACAACACAUUCACAGACCGCAGUGUAAGAGGAAUAUUUUGGUUGAGCAAUCAUUCGAGCUGCUGCUAACAUUAUUUUGUCAAGCCACUGACUUGUCACAUCUGCCAUCGUUGUGAUUGAUGUGACAAUUUUAUCUGACAGUAACAUCUGGAAGAAGGAGCAUGAGAAGAUCAAGCAGUAUCAAGGGAACAGCUGGAACAGAUGUGGAAGCUUUACUUUUGAGCAACUAUGCGACUACUCAGCUUGACAAGGUGACCUGCCAUCACUUUCACCUCGUCCAAACCGAAGUGAAAUCAUGCGAGAGAGACUGUCGUAUUCCAGCAACAAACUACACCCCUGGAGCAGCUGCUCUGAGUGGACCAUGGAGCUGCAGUGGACAGAUAAGGAAUGACAGCUCUGGGGAAAAAUGACCUUUGAGACAAAACCAGGCAAAAUGAUAUAGGAGGAGGAGACGGAGCAGCUCCUACCGAACUCUCCUCCACAGCCGGUGGUGGGGGCUCAUGGAUGAUCUGUGGAAAAAAAUAAAAAAGUUCACGAGAAGGAGGAAAAAAGACGAAAUCUAGGUCCUCGCCUUGUCCAGCUGGCUGUUAGAAAAGUGGCUCCAACAAGCAUCGUCGCCCAAGCCUGUCUGCUUAUCCUGGCAGGCUCAGAGCAUACCCCAGAACUGAGGAAAUCAACACACGCGGCUGCUCUUUUUCUUUUCUUUUUUUCGCAACACAAUGGAGGACAGAGGGGAGGGGAGGUCAGUGCUGCCAAACACAGCUCCACGCCAAUAUAAACUGGGCCAGAUAGCAGAAUUCAUCUCUUCCCCAACCUUGCACUCAGAAUAGCCUUAUACUGUUGAAGCAGAGGACAAAGUGAUGGGACCUGAUUCGUUGCAGUCUGCAGGUUUCCACUGUUCACGCCCCUCAAGGAUAAAGAUGCUGGCAAACAUCCAUAAGUCCACAUCAUGAUGUUUUAUUGGACUGUUUACUCCCCAGGCGCACAAAGAGGUCAUGUUUUACUGUGAGGUGCAGACAAAUGUCCAGAGUUCAGCUUGAACCGCUAAAUUAUUUGGAAUUAUUGGUGAGGAUGACGGCCGAUGUGCUGCCUUUGAGAUAGUUGUCAUUACACAGUGGAUUCUGGGAAAACAGCUGCCUUGGUUUGAUUGGCUGACGUCAGCAGACUUUUGGCAGUAUAAUAUUCGAAACAACAUUUCCAUUAUUUGGAAAAUACCCCUAUUAACUUUCAUACCAAGAGCAAGAUGUGAAGUUUGAUACCAAUAGUAUGUCUUUAUGGUAAAAUAUUGAGGUGAUGGUUAGCUUAGCUUUGCUAGCUUAGCAAAAAGACUGGAAACAAACAGAAACAACUGGCCUGGCUCUGUCCAAAAGUAACAAAAGUCUGCCUAGCAGGAGCUCAAAAGCAAAGUAAUAUGCCAAACAAAUGUCAAAUCCUGAUUUUAUGAUUAUUGACAUAUUGUUGACCAGAAACAAACCCCCAUUUUACACUUGUUUUAUACAGUUUAAACAAACAUCUUGAUGACAUGUUAGUAAGCUUUCAAGGUGCUUGUAUAGGUGGAUCCUGUUAACUUUAACCCGCCUUUUCCCCCUUUUUCCAGUCGAGCUCAUCACACAGACAAGAAAAUUGUACGGAUCCUCUCAUCUUUCAACUUUUGGCAAGAUAGUUGAAAAGCAUAUACAAACAUUCUUCAAGUCUUGUCUCCCAGUAUUCACACAGCUGUCCACUGCAACAUCUGUCCCAAAACAAUGAACAGCUCAGGACAGGACCUGCCAAAACCCAGCGCGCCUGACUGUAGCUGCUGCUACUUUUUCCUGGAGACAUAAACUCAAACACUGUUUCAUCUGCUUAACACAUGUACUUGCAUAUAGCUGUUUUCCUUUUAUACCAUUUUGCCAUAUUUUCAAAAUGUGCAGAAUAGAAGGCUGGAGCGGCGGAGUCAUGGAGGGCAAGAGAGAAUGUAUCAUCCGAGAAAUGGUUUUCCUUAUGUACCAUCAUACAUUUAUCUCCAGGCGAGCUAAAUAUGGCCUAACUAUUUUCAUUUAAAGCGUGCCCCCGAUGUGAAGCAAACAAAUGCCAGAAGACUGUGUGUAAACAAUCCAGAGAAAUGAAUGAAUGAGGAGGAGGAGCGUACGAGUAUAAUGGGAUUGACAUAAGGAGAUAAUUUGACUCAAAUUGCUUCCAUGACCGCAGUUUCAAGGGAGUUGGAUGUCGUAUCACGCAGAAAUGAUUAUGAUUCAGAGAAAACAUAAAACAUUUAAUUAAUACUAAGAAAAUGUUUCACACUUAUUCACAAGAAUUAGAUUUAAAAGGCAAACUGCUUGUGCUGAAUGUUAACAAAGUAACCAACAUGAAAGUGAAGAAAAUCUUCUCAGUGAUUUGUAAACAUUACAGAUGUGUUUUCAUGCAUGUAUACAUUCAGUAAAUGAAUGUGGUUUAAAAAACAUGAUGAAGAUAGAAAACAUGGCAUGGGGCAUCUUUAAUGGAGCAGACCAAUGGAUAGAAUCUCAUUUUAAAGAUUAAAAAAAGCAAAUGAUGGUUCAAAUUACUGAGACACUAGGACAACGGAAUGUGAACUUAAAAAAGAAUCUUGUCUGUUUAUCAUUUUUACUUCAGGGCAGCAAACAUUUUAUUUGUGCACCAGUGCUGGUGAAUAUCUUCCUUUGUAAUUAGCAGCCCUUCCUGCAGCUACUGUGGCUUGCAGAGGAAGUGGUUACAGUAAGUUGCUUGUAAAGCCUCUGGUGGAAACUGGUUGUAUCCUUAAGGGCUGUUUUUUGUCUUUCUGCCUUGUGUGUGGUACUGCUCCGAUUUAUCUCUUGAUUUUGGCUUUUUUCCAGGCUGUAAAAUUACACAAUGUGUUGUUUUAAAAAGGCCAUGAUACCAGUAAGAGCAGCGCAGCAGUUUAUUUAAUCACCGAGGAGUCCAGCUGUGCAGAUGACUUGGUGUUUGAUUUUUGGGAAACUCAGCUAUGUGUAAUUGAGAAGUCUUUACAAUGGCCUGCUCACUCGACUGUUUAUUCCAGCUGCUUUUCCUGUAAAUGAACUUAGUGAUAAACUUUGA